AGCAGCCGCGGUAAUUCCAGCUCCAAUAGCGUAUAUUAAAGUUGUUGCAGUUAAAAAGCUCGUAGUUGAAUUUCGGGAUCAAUUAAUCGGUCGUGCCUCUGGUACGCACUGGUUUUAUUGGUUUCUCCCUUCUGACGAACCAGGAUGUCAUUAAUUUGGUGUCUUGGAGAAUCAGGACUGUUACUUUGAAAAAAUUAGAGCGUUUAAAGCAGGCUAACGCUUGAAUACAUUAGCAUGGAAUAAUGAAAUAGGACGUUUGAUCCUAUUUUGUUGGUUUCUAGGAUCGACGUAAUGAUUAAUAGGGAUAGUUGGGGGCAUUAGUAUUCAAUUGUCAGAGGUGAAAUUCUUGGAUUUAUUGAAGACUAACUACUGCGAAAGCAUUUGCCAAGGAUGUUUUCAUUAAUCAAGAACGAAAGUUAGGGGAUCGAAGACGAUCAGAUACCGUCGUAG
rnacentral:rRNA from 1 species